rnacentral:rRNA from 1 species
GCUGAUGCGUUGUUGGGUAGGGGAGCGUUCUGUAAGCCUGCGAAGGUGGCCUGUGAGGGUUGCUGGAGGUAUCAGAAGUGCGAAUGCUGACAUAAGUAACGAUAAAGCGGGUGAAAAGCCCGCUCGCCGGAAGACCAAGGGUUCCUGUCCAACGUUAAUCGGGGCAGGGUGAGUCGACCCCUAAGGCGAGGCCGAAAGGCGUAGUCGAUGGGAAACGGGUUAAUAUUCCCGUACUUGGUGUUACUGCGAAGGGGGGACGGAGAAGGCUAUGUUGGCCGGGCGACGGUUGUCCCGGUUUAAGCGUGUAGGUGUGUGUUCCAGGUAAAUCCGGUUCACUUUAACACUGAGGCGUGACGACGAGGCACUACGGUGCUGAAGCAACAAAUGCCCUGCUUCCAGGAAAAGCCUCUAAGCAUCAGGUAACACGAAAUCGUACCCCAAACCGACACAGGUGGUCAGGUAGAGAAUACCAAGGCGCUUGAGAGAACUCGGGUGAAGGAACUAGGCAAAAUGGUGCCGUAACUUCGGGAGAAGGCACGCUGACACGUAGGUGAAGUGAUUUACUCA